UACGUAGGGACCAAGCGUUGUUCGGAUUUACUGGGCGUAAAGGGCGCGUAGGCGGCAAUUCAAGUCAGUUGUGAAAUCUCCGAGCUUAACUCGGAACGGUCAACUGAUACUGCUUUGCUAGAGUACAGAAGGGGCAAUCGGAAUUCUUGGUGUAGCGGUGAAAUGCGUAGAUAUCAAGAGGAACACCUGAGGUGAAGACGGGUUGCUGGGCUGAUACUGACGCUGGAGGCGCGAAAGCUAGGGUAGCAAACGGGAUUAGAUACCC
rnacentral:rRNA from 1 species